rnacentral:rRNA from 1 species
UACGGAGGGUGCAAGCGUUGUUCGGAAUCACUGGGCGUAAAGCGCAUGUAGGCGGCCGAUUGUGUCGUGUGUGAAAUCCCUCGGCUCAACCGAGGAAGUGCGCACGAAACUGGUCGGCUUGAGUACGGGAGAGGAGGGUGGAAUUCCCGGUGUAGAGGUGAAAUUCGUAGAUAUCGGGAGGAACACCAGUGGCGAAGGCGACCCUCUGGACCGAUACUGACGCUGAGAUGCGAAAGCGUGGGGAGCAAACAGG